CUUCAAACUUUGGAUUCUGGUAGAGUGCAUCGGCUGGGGACAACUUAUUUGUAGAGUAUAUAAAAAUGCUGAGCAACCUGAAAAUCAGAUUCUGGAAUGAGGCAAUGGGGCCAAAUGGGAGAUGUUUCCGAAGGACAUCACUCACAGCUACAUAAUUUUAUGCCUUCUGUAAUGGAGUUCUGUAGGGAUGGCAGUGCUCAUCUCCAGCUCUUGGAGACUGUGAAGACUGAAUCCAAUGGCAGCAAGAGUUUUGAUGAAUAGUAUGCAGGUUUGGGAUGUGCAAGUUGCCAGUGCUGUCUGAUCUGCUAAUGGAGCUGCAGCAGAUGAAGCUUCCUGACUGAACGGGAGGUACUGCAAAGAAGAUUUUCUCUGAGCUUUAGGCAGGACAAGGAGAAAAAAAAGGACCUCUCUGGAAAUCAUAAGGAUAACUGAAAAACUGAAACAUCAAAAAAUUUGAACACAGCUUAUCUGUAUGACGAACGGUGUGUAGAAACAUUCACUAGCACAUUUGGAUGCUUCUAGAGUAUUACAAUAACUAGAGGCAAUACAGUGAAAAGAAGGCUCCCCAACGCACUUCACAUGAGGGCAUUUCCAUGAAGCUAUGUAUUCUCAGCUAGUUUACAGCCCAGGGGCCCUGAUCUGGGAAAAGCGACAUACUUGUACACUCAAAUUCAUGACCACAAACAGUAAGAGGAGCUUCUCAAGGUCUGCUCUCCAGGUGCCAAGCUUUCCCUCAUCUUUUCCCUGACAGAUGGAUGAUGUCUCUCCCAAUGAUAACUUAAUAGGUUAAUUUUAAAAUGUAACAUGCUCCAUCCCUCCAUUCAGGUAUAUUAACACUAUGUGAUGGGAUCUGUAACUUCUCUUGCAAGAAGACCUUCCUUUCUGAGGGUUCCCUCCUUGAGGGAUAUUGCUUUAUGCCUUGAGUUUCCAGUUGGAGCUCUGUCAUCUUCCCCAUCAGUACCCAGCCCCAUGGACACCAGUGACACAAAUGCCAGUGGCAUUUAGUAAUGAGUGAAUAUCCCUUCUUGCAAGCCAAACUACAAGAAUGCUUUGUGGGUGAAACUGUGUGGAAACAGACCAAAUCAUUUCAUUUGGUUAACCAGGAAGAUUUUCAUGGAAAGUUUGCUGCCUACCUCUACUUCACCAUAAUGUUUGCCAUACAUCAUAACCUCAGAAGAACCCCAUAACAUCAGGCAAAUUAAAAGCAAGCAUUCAGAUGAUUUGCAUACAUGUUUUUCUAGGUUAGACAUUACAUUGGAAUGCAUUGGCAAUGAGUGGCUGUGACUAAUGUAACAGAGCCUUAAAUAUAACAUACUGCAUUAUACAGUUUUAUGCACAGUAAUGUAGUAAUUAGUUUGUCAGGAUAUCACACUCAGUUCAAAUUUAGUGUUGCUCUCUGCUGGCUAGCCUUGUGAACUACACAUUUGUUUAAUAUGAAAACUGCCCAUUAAAUUGUACUCUGAGAUAAGACUACAGUUCCCAUUCCACCAGCUGUUAUCCAAGCAGAGAGACUGUGAGAAACAAGGAAGUGCAUGCAACAACUAAUUAUUUUCAUCACAUUCACUCUUUCCUCUGGCAGAUGUUAUCCAAAACAACCCUUAGCCCUUAUUCUAUGGAACUGCUACCUGGCUUCUCAUUAACCUAUCCUGAUUUUGCACAUUUGAUUGUUCUUUAUGUUCUUUCCUAUUCCCUCUUCCUCCUAGCUUUCCCAACACUUAAAUAAAUGUUCUGAAGGGCAUACUGAAGGAUAAUUCUCUCAGCCUUACAAGAAAGUAGUAGCCAGAACUGCAUUUUAUGAAGAAACAGAAUGAGUCAGCACACUAGGAGUAUUCCAAUUAUACCAUUUGGACUGAACUUUUUGGAGGACUUUUCCUUUCCCCACCAAAGCCUGACUGAGAUCUCGAAAGCUCGAGUAUAGUGUCAAGGUAUUCAGCAUC